AGUGUUCUGCCUUUCUUCUCUCCUAGUGUCAUUGUGUUGUAUCCCACCAUCAAAAGAAUCUUUAAAUCUUAUAAAACAUCUAGCCUGGCCAUCCACACCAGGAAGAAGACCAUGAUAUGUUUUCAUUUAACAUCACUAUCUGAUAAAUUUAAUUCUCUUUUAGGUAAAUCUAAUAAGUAACGUCUAUGUCAUCUGCAUCAUAGCUGCCUGCACCAUGCAGUAAGAGAGGACAGAUAAAUAAGUUAGGAUUUCUAACACUAACUUGAAGUGUCUUCUAAAUUCAGAGACUUCUCAAAUAUAAGAAUGGUACAAAAGCGGGUAGGCAGAUGAAUAGAAGGAUAAAUAGCUGUCUGGAUAUCUACCGUAAAUAUUUUAAUUAGAUAACAUACAACAUAAUAAAGCAGAAGAGAGGAGGAAGAGGAAAUUAGUAAAAUAAAAUCUGAAAUUAUUAUUAUUAUUUUUUGGUUUUUUGAGGAAGAUUAGCCCUGAGCUAAUUGCUGCCAAUCCUUCUCUUCUUGCUGAGGAAGACUGGCCCUGAGCUAACAUCCAUGCCCAUCUUCCUCUACUUUAUACGUGGGACGCCUGCCACAGGAUGGCUUGCUUAGCGGUGCCAUGUCCGCACCAGAGAUCUGAACUGGCGAACCCCGGGCUGCCAAAGUGGAACGUGCACACUUAACCUCUGCACCACCAGGCCUGCCCCAAAUCUGAAAUUAUUAAACUGCAAAAGUAAAAAUACUUCCUGGAGAAAACCUGCUCAUCUAUCAAGGCUCAGUUCAAGAAUCACCCCUCUGAAGACUUUCAUGCUGCUCAGUUGGAGAAAUCUUGUCAUUUCCUUUAUUGCACUUACUGGUUAGUAGGUCUGGUUCAUCACAAUGCAGAAUGGGGUUCUGAUAGAUGUCCUGGAUUCAGGUCCCAGCUAUGCCACCUACUAAAUGUGAGACUUUUGUCAGUCUCAAAGCCUAAAUUUACUCAACUGUACAAUGGGGAUAAUAGUCUCACUUACUUCAAAAUGCCAUUGGGAGGAUUCAUUCAGAUAAUACUUAUAAAGCACUCAAUACCUGCCACUUACUGGGUGCUAGUUGUUUUGGGGGUGAUGAAGGAGCGUUGCUAGACUGUGUGGUCCUUGGUGAUGUAGCUCUGCUUCACC
rnacentral:lncRNA from 1 species